GGGAGAGGUGCAGGCACAGGGAGGAAGGGGUGUGUGUGCACUCCCGUGAGCACCUGCAGCCCUGCAGAAGCAGACGGCGUGGCGGCCAGACAGAUCCCCGGCCGGACAGAUCCCCCACCGGCUGCGAGGCAUGCGCGCCCGGCUGAGGCCACGCGUGGUCUCUGUGCGCGAAUGAGCGACAGCGCGGUCCCCGUCCUCUGAGAUCCCACGUCCCCCUGGGCAGGGACCUCUCCGCGGCUCCCAAGCCCUGUCUGCGGGGACCCAAAUCCCGCUCUGUCACCCUGUGGUGCUCACGGCUCCACCUGUCGUCCCACAUGGUUCUUACUUGUCCCCGCUCUUCUCUCUACGGGCUCCUGCAAUUCUCCUGCUGAGACUCAGGGUCGAGUGUUAGGAUUGACACCUUGGCUGCUCACUCCUCCAGCGCAUCCUCAGCGAGGACGUCCCCCAUUGCAGAAACACCCGACAGUGCCACAGCGCAGGUGCACGCCAGCCCCAGAGCAGGACCGGCUGAAGGAUGCCAGAGCUGA
rnacentral:lncRNA from 12 species